AAUCCUCCUUCAGUUACUCGUAUUUUGCAGUCUCACAAUUGUUUAAGCAGGCUUUAUUUAAAGAAAAAAAGUAGCAACCAAGUAAAUGCAUAGAAGGGACUAAUUUAACCAACCCUUUGGAUAAAAGUCAGGGUAGGGCAGGAGGUGUCAUGGGAAGUGUUUUUAUCCAUCAGAAAUGUGAUGACUAAAUGAGCAAUUACGGCUCUGAAUAUAUAACAUCACUGGGUCCCUCCUACACGGAUGAGUAUUGCUACAUUUCUCAUGCAACCUGCCUGUGUGACAAAGCUGCACACACACUGUAUCCAAUUAGUGUCAAGUGUGAGAGUUGCUCAGCAUGUCUUGUGUCUUAAACCCCUCCUGGAAGCAAUUUUCCCAGCAUACAAAGAGUAAUUCACCCUCUUUCAGAGAACAGUUCCCAAAUAAGGGCAGAAUAAACACACGUAAUACAUAAUAAAGCAUUCUAAUUAGGUAGACAAUAUUCUCCCAGCAGAAGUAGAUGCAGAGUAUUGGCUGCUUUGUGUUUAACAUUGCAUGUAAUUACGUCCGGGUAGGUGAUACAAGGCACUUUGGUAUGCACUUGUGGAAAACAAGUGAAACAGCCUGCUUAAACCCAAACAACAAAAAAACAACUUGAAAAAAAAUCAAUGCCCACCUACUACAGGAGAUACAAAUUAUUUUCUCUAAGGGUCACAGUCUCUCCAGAAGCAUCAGUACAUGAAGAGAGAACAGAGGGAGGGUACACAACCUGCUCUGCACCCCCCCUCAGGUACCAACUGCACCAGGGUGAAGCCGUUAUCUUAAUUUCACAGGCGAUUUAACAUGACCACACCUUCUGUAAUCCACCGGGACAUGGAAUGUCCCUAGUAGUCUCCUAUGACACCAGCUCUUCACAGGUUCUCAAGUGACCAAACAUCAUGUGUGGCCAGAGGCAGUGCUUGUUGAGAAAAAGGAACUCUGACACCAAGUUGUAACACAAAUCCUACUGAAAUGAAGGCAAAGCCAGAACUGUUCUAGUCCAGCAGCUGAAAGAUUGGGUUAACCUCUCAGCAGGUGGUUCAGGAGGCCAUGGGAGCCAGGGGUGCUUCCUUAGGUGAGAAUAUUGGAGGCUAAAGGCAAGAGACUGUCAUGAGAAAUGCUUAAUUAAUUAGUUAAUUAUUUACCCGAGGCAGUUGCAAUGGGAAACACCAAGGUGAAAAUGCCUGUUUGAGUGUAGUUGGUGUAUGUUAGGUGCUGAGCUCUCGUGCACAGGAGAGGUCUGCCUCUUCCCUUCCCUGCUUUCUUGUUGCCUUCUGCUAUAGGCUGGCUGGGUCUGAAACCAUCGUCUGCUAUUGAAGGAGCAGCUUUCCUAAACAGAAAACAGCCUUGGGGUGGCUUCAGUUUAAUGCUGUGCUGAAGUUCUAGGCAUCAGAGGUGGACAAGAAGGACUCAGGCAAGAACCACAGGUAUAGGACAAGCAAAGCCAAAGAGAGGGAUUCUUUGCUUCAGGUUAUUCUAAGGCAGGCAGCGAGGAUGACAGUAAAACUGUUUGUAUCUCUUCCUUCUGCUAGAAGAUAGAGCAUUAAACAUGUAAUCAGAGUAAAUUGGUACUCUGAGUGCCUGGGAGUGUGUAGCAGCCUCUACAGAGCAAGAGACACACGGGUACUGCACAGCCAGGCCGUGAGGACAUGUGAGCAGCUGCUAACAUGUGGGAAACUGCCUGUGGACAACUCAAGGAUCUGAAAGACCUUUGUCUUUCAGGACUGUCCAUCAUGAUCUCUGAUAUUUGCUAUUAUCAGAACUCAAGAGGCUAUUAAGAGUUACAGAUGAGUGCUGUGACAGGGCAAAGAGAACUGCCCCUCUGAUUAGCACCACUCCCUCAAGCUGAUCAGGGACUGAUGGCUGGGUCCGGCCUAGGCUGAUCCCUGCUGCUGAGAGGGGACAGACAGUGUCCUCCGAAUGGCACUUGACUGUAACAAAUUGAGGAGUUGCACUCACUAGCUUAUAUGCAUUGCUGGAAAAGCACACCUAAUUUGAUAAGCAAACUUCCAGCUAUAAAGUCCAGAGAACUUUUGUACCUGACAAAGGUUCAGGUGGAAAUCUAGUGCAGGGUGUGUGGUGAGAGCUGAGAGCCCCUGAUCAUAGUGAAAACAAAUGCUGGGCUGGGGAAGUUGGUUAGGAAAUACUAGUAUUUUCUUUGCCUCAACUCAUUUACUUAGGUAUUGGUAUUCCUGUCUGAUACUAAGCAGGUAAGCUUGGGGAUGCGGAACUGAGCAUGCCCAGGGUCUGAGGGCUGGCCCAGGCAGGGCGGACUACCUGGGAGUAAAUGGCUAGUACUGCUCCUCACAGCCCUAGCUGGCUCCUGGCAACCAGUACAGGUGGCUCCACCUUGUUCAUACCCCAAGCAUGUGCAAGCACAGCAAGAGAUUGCUGUUUUCAAGUUUACCAUUGCCUGUUCAGAGUGCUGUAAAGUCCUUUUCCCCAGGGGGGUGGCUGUGCUUGUUACCCACACAGGAGCCUUCAGUGACCCCAUGUGCAGAGCAAACAGCAGAGAAAGAUUUUUGAACAUGGUUCAGUCUGUUGUGCUUUGGUGAGCACAUCUGUAAACCAGCGGUGGCUCUGGAUUUGUGUUUUCAUCACCCUCUUUGGUUGCUGGAGACAGGUGCGAUGGAUGGUUUCCCUUUCCUGCCAGCGGCCGGGCUGCGCCAUCGCAGCACAGAGCAGCCCUGGGGCGCAGGGCUGUGGGCUGCGCCCUGCCUCGGGCCCUUCCUGGGCCCCCAGCCGCAAGGCUGGACCCGACCCCCGCUGGCCAUGUCCUGUUCCCGAUGAGAGUGUGGUGCAAAACCCGCCCCGGUCCCUGCAGGGGUGUCCCCCCCCGCGCCGCCCUCCCUGAGCCCAGGGACGCUCUGGGCGUGAGGGCGGUGUGCCCAGGCUCCAAACCGCUGUCACGGUGUCCCCGCUCGGCUUCACGGGAGCCCAGGGCCCUUCCCGUCAGGGGGGAUCCCUGUGCCCCCAGCCUCUCCCUCGUGUCCCAGACAGGACAAAUAAGUGGGCGCAGGCCUCCGGCCCCACACAGGAGCAGCCGUGGGCAGGGUGGGGGGUCCUGGCCACUGAGGCCCAUCGGUACCUGAGACAGGCCGAGGCCGCCAAGCUCCUCUCCCCCAUGCUGGCGGGAUCAGCCUUGGCCGCCUUCCCCAGAGCUCGGGGACACACAAAACGCACAGCUCCUCCCGCCACGCCUGGAGCAUGACCCCCAGAGGAUGCCGUGGAGCCACCGCCGCGCUCGCUCUGAGUCAGGGCAGGCCACGUGAGGGCCCAGCGCCAGCCCCGACGCCUGCCCGCCCGCCAUCACGUGCCGGGGCCAGCGCUGCGCACACCCUGCCCCGGGAUCCCGACCCACCUUCACAGCCCUGCAGAGCUUUCCAGCAACCACAGAGAGGAGCACGCAGCGCAUAGGAAGAAAUACAAACCAGGAACAGCAAUGGAGAACUUGAAUGUCCUAUUCCCAGAUCUUACUGAAGAACAGCAAGACGUUUUCCAGAGGGUUUUUACUGCUGAUGCCAGCUACUUGGAGAAUCAUGAGAAAAUGAACCAGUCCUUCUGGGAAUCACUUGUAAAAUGUUUAUCCACCACUGACCCACCUAUCCUGAAUACUGAAGAAAAGAAUAAUCUCCUCAACAGCUGCAGUGUCCUUCCUGGUGGCUGUGCAGCCUGCCUGAAGGCCAUAGAGAAGAAAGGAGUCAGGGCCAUGGCUGUUCUUUAUCUCUUGCUGAAGUCAACCAACCCAUCUGGGUACAGGCAGCUGCCCAGCUCCAAGGGAAAGGAUGAAAAAUUGAAACCCCUGAAGAGAUUGGAAAGGAAUCUCAUGCUUUCACCAGGGGAAAAAAAGGCUGAAAACUCAUCCCAUGAGUCCACAGAUGAAGAUACACAAGACAGUGACAGGGAAGAUUUAGGAAGACAGAAGACUGAAGGCCAAUUACUUGGAGGCAUACCAGCAGAGGUUGUUCCCUAUAGAGAUCCAGAGAUUACCAGAAGAGAAGAUUCAUUUGCAGAUGCAUAUGAGAACGAGAACCCUCAUCUCCAUCAGUGGAUGGUACGGUGGAUGGGCAUACGGAAGGAUGACGAAUUCUUUCAUUUUGUCAUUCUUUGCUUUGCCAUUGGAGCUUUACUGAUUUGCUACUACUACUACAAAGAUUGGACUAUUUCUCUUGGAAUUGGUUUAAUCACCUUUGCUUCCCUGGAAACCACUGGGAUAUACUUUGGUCUAGGUAAGUGUAUCUACAGCAGUCAGCUGUAUCCACAUGAAGGACAACAGGGUCACACAGUCUUUAAAUUACACAAGACUCUAAACCUGUUAGUGCCCAGAUUCCAUGAACCAUCUCAUAACAUCUCAUUCACCAUUACACCAUGGGGCUGGAGAUGAGCAGCCUCAGUGACACUGAAGGGGGAGGUUGACUCAUUGUCUCUUUUCAGUGGUCACAAGACCCUGAGUCACCGCUUUCUGCAGCAAUGGCUGAAUGCUAAGUUGCCAUGACAACGCACAAUUUUAGCAGCAAGGCGGUCUUCCCAGAUACAGUCUAGAAGGUGCUGUGCCCUCAGGCUGCCAUUCCUUCCCCUGGGACUGAGGCGGCUGAACACCCCCAGGAAGAGCCCACAGCAGAACCCGGAUGGUGGCACCUACUGAAAAUGAUGCUUAAACACCAGGGAUUCACGGCAAUCCCUAGGGAUGGUGUAGGAAAGGUGCAGCUAGCAGCAAGUUAUUGCCUCCCAGCUGAGGACAGAGGUCUCCCUUGUAAUUUUGUGCCAAUAUUUUCGGUAGGUUGUGGAUGGUUCUCUCAGGAAUCGGCCUUGUCACUACUUUGUUAUUAAUGAUAUCUCGGAACUGUUUGUUUAAACGGUAAUCUUGGGUUCAUUAGUACUGCAAGUGUCAGUGCUUGGUUUUUGACAUUUUUCUAUUUUUUAUGUUUUAUGUUGCUGUCUGGGUCAUCUUGAAAAAAAUGUGUCUUUUUCACAAUUAGUGUACCGAAUCCGGAGCGUUCUUGACGGUUUGGUUCCUCUGAUUGACAAAUUCAGGCCAACAGGUAUGAGGAAAGCUGCCUAGGAGGAGUAUUUCAGCAGAGUUCCACAAAAUCCUGCUGUCUGCAUUUCUAGUAUUAAAAGAACUGCUUUAUGAGGCAAACAUAAAAACCUAAUCUAAUGGCUAACGUGAAAUACUGAAAUGUUAAACCAUAGGAAAACAUCAUUCCCUCCCCUCAAAAAUAAAGCUGAAGCUGCGUUACCAGG